rnacentral:rRNA from 1 species
GACGAACGCUGGCGGCAUGCUUAACACAUGCAAGUCGAACGGAAAGGCCCUGCUUUUGUGGGGUGCUCGAGUGGCGAACGGGUGAGUAACACGUGAGUAACCUGCCCUUGACUUUGGGAUAACUUCAGGAAACUGGGGCUAAUACCGGAUAGGAGCUCCUGCUGCAUGGUGGGGGUUGGAAAGUUUCGGCGGUUGGGGAUGGACUCGCGGCUUAUCAGCUUGUUGGUGGGGUAGUGGCUUACCAAGGCUUUGACGGGUAGCCGGCCUGAGAGGGUGACCGGCCACAUUGGGACUGAGAUACGGCCCAGACUCCUACGGGAGGCAGCAGUGGGGAAUAUUGCACAAUGGGCGGAAGCCUGAUGCAGCAACGCCGCGUGCGGGAUGACGGCCUUCGGGUUGUAAACCGCUUUCGCCUGUGAUGAAGCGUGAGUGACGGUAAUGGGUAAAGAAGCACCGGCUAACUACGUG